GUUCUCGCUUCAGAAGCACAUACACUAAAAAUGGAACAAUAUAGCGAAGAUUAGCAUGGCCCCUGUGCAAGGAUGACACACAAAUACCCAAAGCGUUCCUUAAAAAA
ensembl:snRNA U6 U6 spliceosomal RNA